rnacentral:miRNA from 1 species
AUAAGACGAGCGAAAAGCUUUU